GGGUUAUUAGCUCAGUCGGUAGAGCAGCUCCCUUUUAAGGAGAAGGUCGGGUUCGAGCCGGAUGACCCACCA
rnacentral:tRNA from 1 species